GGCUGUGUUGCUGGUAGUGGUUUUCCUCCAGCUGCAGUGUCUGGGUUAAAUGCUGAACCUGUUGGGCUGCCAUUGGGCCGACAUCAGAUCCUCACUGCAGUCCCUGCAAUCUUCUUACACUGUUGGACUACUAGAUCUGCAUUGUGUACAGGAGAGAGAGAGCAGGAGCCUGAUUGUUCCGUGAAGAGAGAUGUUCUGCAGAUUUUCAGUUUAAUAUUUAUAUUAGCCUCAGGCAAUUUUCUACUCCAUGUUUUAGGGGAGUGAGCAGGGAGAACAUGUAGAUGUUCUUCUCUCUGAUAACAAGGGAUUAGCUUAAGCACACAGAUAAGGAACAUCAGGGAUGCAGAUGGCAAUAGAAGAACAAAAGUAACCAGACAAGACCGUGAAGAGAGAGCUUCUCUAUCCCUUUUCAUAGAAAAGAUUUAAAAAAAAAAAAAAAAAAAAAAA